UACAGAGGUCUCAAGCGUUGUUCGGAUUCAUUGGGCGUAAAGGGUGCGUAGGUGGCGGGGUAAGUCAGGUGUGAAAUCUCGGAGCUCAACUCCGAAACUGCACUUGAUACUGCCUUGCUCGAGUACUGGAGAGGAGAUUGGAAUUUACGGUGUAGCAGUGAAAUGCGUAGAUAUCGUAAGGAAGACCAGUGGCGAAGGCGAAUCUCUGGACAGUUACUGACACUGAGGCACAGAAGCAGGGGAGCAAACGGG
rnacentral:rRNA from 1 species